rnacentral:rRNA from 1 species
CAAUAGCGUAUAUUAAAGUUGUUGCAGUUAAAAAGCUCGUAGUUGGAUUUGUGGUGUACUUCGGCGGCCUGUCACUAUGUGAUGGAGCUUGCUGAAGUCGCCAUCCUUGGGUGGAUCCUGUGUGGCAUUAAGUUGUCGUGCAGGGGAUGCCCAUCGUUUACUGUGAAAAAAUUAGAGUGUUCAAAGCAGGCUUAUGCCGUUGAAUAUAUUAGCAUGGAAUAAUAAGAUAGGACCUUGGUACUAUUUUGUUGGUUUGCGCACCAAGGUAAUGAUUAAUAGGGACAGUUGGGGGUAUUCGUAUUUCAUUGUCAGAGGUGAAAUUCUUGGAUUUUUGAAAGACGAACUACUGCGAAAGCAUUUACCAAGGAUGUUUNCAUUAA